rnacentral:rRNA from 1 species
UACAGAGGUGGCAAGCGUUGUUCGGAAUUACUGGGCGUAAAGGGCGCGUAGGCGGUUCGUUAAGUCCUGUGUGAAAUCCCCCGGCUCAACUGGGGAACUGCACAGGAAACUAGCGGGCUUGAGUUCGGGAGAGGGAAGCGGAAUUCCGGGUGUAGCGGUGAAAUGCGUAGAUAUCCGGAGGAAUACCGGUGGCGAAGGCGGCUUCCUGGACCGACACUGACGCUGAGGCGCGAAAGCUAGGGGAGCAAACGGG